rnacentral:rRNA from 1 species
GAUGAACGCUAGCUACAGGCUUAACACAUGCAAGUCGCGGGACCGGCGCACGGGUGAGUAACACGUAUCCAACCUGCCCUUUACUCGGGGAUAGCCUUUCGAAAGAAAGAUUAAUACCCGAUGUAAAGGCUGGGGGUGCGUUCCAUUAGGUUGUUGGUGAGGUAACGGCUCACCAAGCCUUCGAUGGAUAGGGGUUCUGAGAGGAAGGUCCCCUAGAUUGUAACGGAGACGCGGUCCAGAAUCCUACUGGAGGCGGGAGUGGGGGCUAUUGGUCAAUGGGCGGUAGCCUGAUCCAGCCAAGUAGCGGGAAGGAUGAAGGCUUAUGGGUCGUAAACUUGUUUUAUAUAUAUAAAGGUAUUAUAUGAAGUAGGAUCGGCUGACUCCGUGCCAGCAGCCGCGGUAAUAC